rnacentral:rRNA from 1 species
UAUCUCUGUAGAGUCUGCAUAUCAAUAAGCGGAGGAAAAGAAACUAACUAGGAUUCCCUCAGUAACGGCGAGUGAAGCGGGAAGAGCUCAAAUUUGAAAUCUUCAAGGUUCUACCUUGACGAAUUGUAGUUUAAAGAAGUGUUUUCUGUUGGAGUUUCGGUAAAAGUUCUUUGGAAUAGGACAUCAUAGAGGGUGAGAAUCCCGUAUUUGACCGUUACUUUCCAGCUGUGUGAUACACUUUCAAAGAGUCGGAUUGUUUGGGAAUGCAGUCCAAAAUGGGUGGUAAAUUUCAUCUAAAGCUAAAUAUUGGCGAGAGACCGAUAGCGAACAAGUACCGUGAGGGAAAGAUGAAAAGAACUUUGAAAAGAGAGUUAAACAGUACGUGAAAUUGUCAAAAGGGAAGCGUUUGACACCAGUGUUGUUUUUCUCGAAAAUCAAUUAAAAAUGGCAGGUUAUUUUGAUGUAGUUAUGACUUCAUCAGCUUUCUGCACUUUCUUUAUGUACUUUUCUUAAUGCACUUUUCGUUUAACAAGUCAACAUCAAUUUCUUUUGCUUGUAAAAGAGGUCAUUGGAAGGUGGCUUUCUUUUCGGAGAAAGUGUUUAUAGCCUUUGACUUCUGCAGUCGGAGAGAUUGAGGUCUGCAGCGUAGAUCCUUCGGGGUUAGAUAGCAUUUGUGCUAAGCUAUAGCCUUUCAUAGACAACUUGUUGACUAUGAUCAGUUAUGUAGCUUACUCGCUUAUGUCUAUUUUACCUACGCUUAGGAUGUUGAGUAGCGACAUACGCAC